GCUGGGCAUGGUGGUGCAUGCCUGUAAUCCCAGCUACUCAGGAGGCUGAGGCAGGAGAAUUGCUUGAACCCAGGAGGUGGAGGCUACAGUGAGCUGAGAUCACGCCACUGCACUCCAGCCUGGGCAACAGAGUGAGACUCUGUCUCAA
rnacentral:SRP_RNA from 1 species